UGGGGGAUAUUGCACAAUGGGCGAAAGCCUGAUGCAGCGACGCCGCGUGGGGGAUGAAGGCUUUCGGGUUGUAAACCUCUUUCGCUAUCGAACAAGGCCCGCUUAGGGUGGGUUGAGGGUAGGUGGAGAAGAAGCGCCGGCUAACUACGUGCCAGCAGCCGCGGUAAUACGUAGGGCGCGAGCGUUGUCCGGAAUUAUUGGGCGUAAAGGGCUUGUAGGCGGCUUGUUGCGCCUGCUGUGAAAACGCGGGGCUUAACUUCGCGCGUGCAGUGGGUACGGGCAGGCUUGAGGUAUGGAAGGGAAAGUGGAAUUCCUAGUGUAGCGGUGAAAUGCGCAGAUAUUAGGAGGAAUACCGGUGGCGAAGGCGACUUUCUGGCCAUAACCUGACGCUGAGGUACGAAAGCGUGGGUAGCAAACAGG
rnacentral:rRNA from 1 species